rnacentral:rRNA from 4 species
GGGAACUGAAACAUCUAAGUACCCCGAGGAAAAGAAAUCAACCGAGAUUCCCCCAGUAGCGGCGAGCGAACGGGGAGGAGCCCAGAGCCUGAAUCAGCAUGUGUGUUAGUGGAAGCGUCUGGAAAGGCGCGCGAUACAGGGUGACAGCCCCGUACACAAAAGCGCAUGUGCUGUGAGCUCGAUGAGUAGGGCGGGACACGUGGUAUCCUGUCUGAAUAUGGGGGGACCAUCCUCCAAGGCUAAAUACUCCUGACU